GCUUCGUGAGCGAGGUGGCGGGUCCGCCCGUACCCUAAACCGACACUGGUGGAUAGGUAGAGUAUACCGAGGCGAUCGAGUGAAUCGUGGUGAAGGAACUCGGCAAAAUGCCCCCGUAACUUUGGGAUAAGGGGGACCUGAGCUGUCGUGCACCCGUGCGGUGUGGUGGCGGUGAGGGGCGCAGAGUCCAGGGGGAAACGACUGUUUACCAAAAACACAGGUCCGUGCGAAGUCGUAAGACGAUGUAUACGGACUGACUCCUGCCCGGUGCUGGAAGGUUAAGGGGAACUGUGAGUGUAUGCGUAGCGGUGAACUUAAGCCCCAGUAAACGGCGGUGGUAACUAUAACCAUCCUAAGGUAGCGAAAUUCCUUGUCGGGUAAGUUCCGACCUGCACGAAUGGAGUAACGAUUUCCCUACUGUCUCCACCAUGAACUCGGUGAAAUUGCAUUACGAGUAAAGAUGCUCGUUACGCGCAGCAGGACGGGAAGACCCCGGGACCUUUACUAUAGUUUGGUAUUGGUGAUUGGGACGGUUUGUGUAGGAUAGGUGGGAGACGUUGAUGCGGCCACGCUAGUGGUGGUGGAGUCGUUGGUGAAAUACCACUCUGAUUGUUCUGGUUAUCUCACUGUGGACCGUGAUCCGGUUCAAGGACAGUGCCUGAUGGGUAGUUUGACUGGGGCGGUCGCCUCCUAAAGGGUAACGGAGGCGCCCAAAGGUUCCCUCAGCCUGGUUGGUAAUCAGGUGGUGAGUGUAAGUGCACAAGGGGGCUUGACUGUGAGACUGACAGGUCGAGCAGGGACGAAAGUCGGGACUAGUGAUCUGACGGUGGCUUGUGGAUGCGCCGUCACUCAACGGAUAAAAGGUACCCCGGGGAUAACAGGCUGAUCUUGCCCGAGCGCUCAUAGCGACGGCAUGGUUUGGCACCUCGAUGUCGGCUCGUCGCAUCCUGGGGCUGGAGUCGGUCCCAAGGGUUGGG
rnacentral:rRNA from 1 species